ACAGGUGCUGCAUGGCUGUCGUCAGCUCGUGUUGUGAAAUGUUGGGUUAAGUCCCGCAACGAGCGCAACCCUUAUCCUUUGUUGCCAGCGGUCCGGCCGGGAACUCAAAGGAGACUGCCAGUGAUAAACUGGAGGAAGGUGGGGAUGACGUCAAGUCAUCAUGGCCCUUACGACCAGGGCUACACACGUGCUACAAUGGCGCAUACAAAGAGAAGCGACCUCGCGAGAGCAAGCGGACCUCAUAAAGUGCGUCGUAGUCCGGAUUGGAGUCUGCAACUCGACUCCAUGAAGUCGGAAUCGCUAGUAAUCGUGGAUCAGAAUGCCACGGUGAAUACGUUCCCGGGCCUUGUACACACCGCCCGUCACACCAUGGGA
rnacentral:rRNA from 1 species